AGCUGUGUGAAUUGGCAGUUCAUAUUCCUGGCAGCUGGGGGAAGAAUGUCUCAAAUCAUAAGACAAGCCCUGGGUGAAGCUUCACACUAUUCACUAGGGUCUCUAACAAGAGGAGCACAGAGGCUGGUGACAUGGAUUGUGCAAGGGGACCUGAGACAACACAGAGUUUACAGCCACAAGAUUGUGAAAAAUAGUGUUUCACCGGACCUGUGAAAUAAGAGUUCCUGUUGUUGGACCUAUAUCCUGGAUAGCAUGUGGUGUUGUCGGUGUUUUGGAUUUUGGCUAUUCUUAUAG